CCUACGGGCGGCAGCAGUGGGGAAUAUUGGGCAAUGGACGCAAGUCUGACCCAGCAACGCCGCGUGAAGGAAGAAGGCUUUCGGGUUGUAAACUUCUUUUAAGGGGGAAGUGGAGAAGACGGUACCCCUUGAAUAAGCCACGGCUAACUACGUGCCAGCAGCCGCGGCAAUACGUAGGUGGCAAGCGUUGUCCGGAUUUACUGGGUGUAAAGGGCGUGCAGCCGGGCCGACAAGUCAGAUGUGAAAACUACGGGCUUAACUUGUAGACUGCAGUUGAAACUGGUUUUCUUGAGUGAAGUAGAGGUUGGCGGAAUUCCGGGUGUAGCGGUGAAAUGCGUAGAUAUUCGGAGGAACACCGGUGGCGAAGGCGGCCAACUGAGCUUUAACUGACGCUGAGGCUCGAAAGUGUGGGGAGCAAACAGGAUUAGAUACCCCGGUAGUC
rnacentral:rRNA from 1 species